AUUGAACGCUGGCGGCAGGCCUAACACAUGCAAGUCGAGCGGAUGAAGGGAGCUUGCUCCUGGAUUCAGCGGCGGACGGGUGAGUAAUGCCUAGGAAUCUGCCUGGUAGUGGGGGAUAACGUCCGGAAACGGGCGCUAAUACCGCAUACGUCCUGAUGGGGAAAGUGGGGGAUCUUCGGACCUCACGCUCUCAGAUGAGCCUAGGUCGGAUUAGCUAGUUGGUGGGGUAAAGGCCUACCAAGGCGACGAUCCGUAACUGGUCUGAGAGGAUGAUCAGUCACACUGGAACUGAGACACGGUCCAGACUCCUACGGGAGGCAGCAGUGGGGAAUAUUGGACAAUGGGCGAAAGCCUGAUCCAGCCAUGCCGCGUGUGUGAAGAAGGUCUUCGGAUUGUAAAGCACUUUAAGUUGGGAGGAAGGGCAGUAAGUUAAUACCUUGCUGUUUUGACGUUACCAACAGAAUAAGCACCGGCUAACUUCGUG
rnacentral:rRNA from 1 species